CAGAUCAUCUAACAAUAGAUUCACGAAACAAGCGGAAAACACGAGAAAUAAAACUGCUUUUAAUGAAGACUGUGAGAAAGUUAAACUUUAUAAACCGCGUUAGGAGACGAGAUGAUGAGAGACUGAAUCUUUACCUCAGAGGAACAUUUAUUUCUUUGUUCUUUAAUGUAAAUUUCUCCUCGACCGUUCUCCAGACGUGGACAACUAUUCUGAAGACGACGAUGACAGUUAUUCUUCAGAGCAGGAGGUCAGUGAUGAUGCCGUUCAGGGUCAGUGGAUAUGAACAGAAGUUCAGAUGCGUCUAUAGCACUUCACUCUACAGCUGUUGAGCAGACGGCUGGGGGGAUGUCACAUGUGACGGGGAUGUGAACGCAGACAAAUCAGCAGCAAACAUCGGCAAACUCUGCAAGGCCGAGUCUCAGACUCUCAUGUCAUGGAGACGCUGUGUCUUUCGUUAAAAAAAACGGCUGCUUCACGAACGAAGUGGGGCUAUUCCAACCAUUAAAACUUUACAAGGACAGUCUGGCACUUCUGAUUUGCAGCCUUGGAUAAGAACAGAUAUUCAGAUGAGUCUACAGCGCUGGAAUCUACAGCUGUGGAGCAGACGGAGGAGGAGACAAUGUGUCACAUUUGACGGAGAUGUGAACGCAGACAAAUCAGCAGCAACCAUCGGCAAACUCUGCAAGGCCGAUUCUCAGACUCUCAUGUCGUGGAGACGCUGUGUCUUUCGUUGCAAAAAGAAAGACCCUUUUGUUUGCCCUGCCAUCAUAACACAACUGAAAAGGAAUGGUUCAAUUUUAUUUACAACACUGUUCCAGAAAAGUACAAACCGAAUGUUCAAGUUUGUGCAGCUCAUUUCCAGACGACUGCUUCACGAACGCUUUGGUUAAAAGUGGGGCUAUUCCAACCAUUAAAACUUUACAAGGACAGUCUGGCGCUUCCGAUUCGCAGCCUGAGCAGACGGCUGGGGGGGUGUCACAUUUGACGGAGAUGUGAACGCAGACAAAUCAGCAGCAAACAUCGGCAAACUCUGCAAGGCCGAGUCUCUGACUCUCAUGUCACUUAGGCGGCCCCUCGAAAGAAGAUUUCGAAGAGGAGACCACGACCCCUUCAGCAGCUGCGGCAGAAGCGACCACUGCUAGCCAUCGAACCACCUCCCGAGGGGGAGAAGAUGCAGAUCACACCCCUAGUCCCCCCGUCACUGUCCCUGGGUGCUUGGCUCAAGCGGUAAAUGUUUAGAGUUUCGAGGCAUCCUCUCAACCUUAGUCAGAGGCAGGGAUGCUCCCGUACUGUGGGCCGAGGUCGCCAGCCUGGUUACGAGUCCGACUCACUAGCCAUUGUCACUUUCGAUGGUUCGGGGACCCCGU